rnacentral:rRNA from 1 species
CCUACGGGAGGCAGCAGUAAGGAAUAUUGGUCAAUGGGCGCAAGCCUGAACCAGCCAUGCCGCGUGCAGGAAGACGGCCCUAUGGGUUGUAAACUGCUUUUGAACAAGAGAAAACCUCGGUACGUGUACCGAGCUGAUAGUAUUGUUAGAAUAAGCAUCGGCUAACUUCGUGCCAGCAGCCGCGGUAAGGCGAAGGAUGCAAGCGUUAUCCGGAUUCAUUGGGUUUAAAGGGUGCGUAGGCGGCCUGAUAAGUCAGUGGUGAAAUCUCUCAGCUUAACUGAGAAACUGCCAUUGAUACUGUCGGGCUUGAGUACAGAUGAUGUGGGCGGAAUAUGACAUGUAGUGGUGAAAUACUUAGAUAUGUCAUAGAACACCGAUUGCGAAGGCAGCUCACAAAACUGUAACUGACGCUGAGGCACGAAAGUGCGGGGAUCAAACAGGAUUAGAUACCCUGGUAGUCCGCACCGUAAACGAUGAUUACUCGUUGUUGGCAAUAUGACCGUCAGCGACCAGACGAAGCGAUAAGUAACUCCGACCGUACGGUAGGUACGGACCGGACCGACGGUACGAAACGUAACGUAAGUAAGUAGACGGCGNGAGACGAGCGACGGACGACGACGAGGGAGGAGG